rnacentral:rRNA from 1 species
AUUGAACGCUGGCGGCAGGCCUAACACAUGCAAGUCGAACGAGUGGCGGACGGGUGAGUAAUGUAUGGGAAACUGCCUGAUGGAGGGGGAUAACUACUGGAAACGGUAGCUAAUACCGCAUAACAUCCGAUGGGACCAGAUGGGAUUAGCUAGUGGGGGGGGUAACGGCUGACCAAGGCGACGAUCCCUAGCUGGUCGGAGAGGAUGACCAGCCACACUGGAACUGAGACACGGUCCAGACUCCUACGGGAGGCAGCAGUGGGGAAUAUUGCACAAUGGGCGCAAGCCUGAUGCAGCCAUGCCGCGUGUAUGAAGAAGGCCUUCGGGUUGUAAAGUACUUUCAGCGGGGAGGCGUUACCCGCAGAAGAAGCACCGGCUAACUCCGUGCCAGCAGCCGCGGUAAUAC